rnacentral:tRNA from 1 species
CCCUGGGUAGCUCAGAUGGUAAAGCAUCUGCCUGCAAUGCGGGAGACCCAGGUUCAAUCCCUGGGUUUGGAA